GACGAACGCUGGCGGCGUGCCUAAUACAUGCAAGUCGAACGAAACUUUCUUACGCCGAAUGCUUGCAUUCACCGUAAGAAGUUGAGUGGCGGACGGGUGAGUAACACGUGGGUAUCCUGCCUAAAAGAAGGGGAUAACACUUGGAAACAGGUGCUAAUACCGUAUAUCUCUAAGGAUCGCAUGAUCCUUAGAUGAAAGAUGGUUCUGCUAUCGCUUUUAGAUGGACCCGCGGCGUAUUAACUAGUUGGUGGGGUAACGGCCUACCAAGGUGAUGAUACGUAGCCGAACUGAGAGGUUGAUCGGCCACAUUGGGACUGAGACACGGCCCAAACUCCUACGGGAGGCAGCAGUAGGGAAUCUUCCACAAUGGACGCAAGUCUGAUGGAGCAACGCCGCGUGAGUGAAGAAGGUCUUCGGAUCGUAAAACUCUGUUGUUAGAGAAGAACACGAGUGAGAGUAACUGUUCAUUCGAUGACGGUAUCUAACCAGCAAGUCACGGCUAACUACGUG
rnacentral:rRNA from 1 species